AGAGUUUGAUCCUGGCUCAGGACGAACGCUGGCGGCGUGCCUAAUACAUGCAAGUCGAACGCUUUUUUUUUCACCGGAGCUUGCUCCACCGAAAGAAAAGGAGUGGCGAACGGGUGAGUAACACGUGGGUAACCUGCCCAUCAGAAGGGGAUAACACUUGGAAACAGGUGCUAAUACCGUAUAACAAUAGAAACCGCAUGGUUUCUAUUUGAAAGGCGCUUUUGCGUCACUGAUGGAUGGACCCGCGGUGCAUUAGCUAGUUGGUGAGGUAACGGCUCACCAAGGCAACGAUGCAUAGCCGACCUGAGAGGGUGAUCGGCCACAUUGGGACUGAGACACGGCCCAAACUCCUACGGGAGGCAGCAGUAGGGAAUCUUCGGCAAUGGACGAAAGUCUGACCGAGCAACGCCGCGUGAGUGAAGAAGGUUUUCGGAUCGUAAAACUCUGUUGUUAGAGAAGAACAAGGAUGAGAGUAGAAUGUUCAUCCCUUGACGGUAUCUAACCAGAAAGCCACGGCUAACUACGUGCCAGCAGCCGCGGUAAUACGUAGGUGGCAAGCGUUGUCCGGAUUUAUUGGGCGUAAAGCGAGCGCAGGCGGUUUCUUAAGUCUGAUGUGAAAGCCCCCGGCUCAACCGGGGAGGGUCAUUGGAAACUGGGAAACUUGAGUGCAGAAGAGGAGAGUGGAAUUCCAUGUGUAGCGGUGAAAUGCGUAGAUAUAUGGAGGAACACCAGUGGCGAAGGCGGCUCUCUGGUCUGUAACUGACGCUGAGGCUCGAAAGCGUGGGGAGCAAACAGGAUUAGAUACCCUGGUAGUCCACGCCGUAAACG
rnacentral:rRNA from 1 species